GUGCACCAGGCGAGAAUACUUUACAAUGUGCGAAAGCACGAUAAGGGAACUCUGAGUGCCUCCUAAGGAGGCUGUUCAGGUGUCUAAAAAGCACCUGGAGUAAGGGCUGGGUAAGACCGGUGCCAGCCGCCGCGGUAACACCGGCAGCCCAGGUGGUAGCCACUUUUAUUGGGUCUAAAGCGUCCGUAGCCGGUUGAGUAAGUUCCUUGGGAAAUUUGGCUGCUCAACAGUCAAGCUUCCAGGGAAUACUGCUCGACUUGGGACUGGGAGAGGUCAGAGGUACUCCGAGGGGUAGGGGUGAAAUCCAUUAAUCCCUGGGGACCACCGGUAGCGAAGGCGUCUGACCAGACCAGGUCCGACGGUGAGGGACGAAGGCUAGGGUCGCGAACCGGAUUAGAUACCCCGGUAGU
rnacentral:rRNA from 1 species